AGUCGAUACCUUCGCAUUUUCAUCACUUGAAGGUGUGAUUUAGUCAUAAAAGCUUAACCUUGAUUUGCAGAAAAGUGAUCACAUACACUUGAAUCUAGCGACAAGUAAACGAACAACUUUUGGUCACGGUCGCUGAUUUAUGUCGCUAUCGACAUGUAAACAAACAGGACCAAAGUCAUGACAUCACCAUUUGUCGUUAAUUUUGUUUGUUCCUCUUUUUUUUAUUAUUUUUUUUUUGAAUAUCUGACAGUUCAAGUUCGAAUGUCCUAUAUUUUUUAGAGAUGAGAUCUACAUGAAGUUAAAUUCAUGUCAUUUAGAGAAAAAAUCCCUUCCAACAGGCGUCGAACCCAUCAGCUCUAUCUCAAAGAUUUACUACUGGACCAAUACCACGUUGGUUUUGCUUCUUCCUCUUCUCGUGAGAUUCUUCUACUUCAAUGCUUCUGAUUCUUCUAUGUUCUUAAUCUUUCAACAAAUACAGUAGUACCUUUAGGAUCUGCCCAGAAGGCUGCGGUAUCUUUGAUCUCCCUUACCAGGCCCCAAUCUUCUCAAAUCCCAUAGCAGUAAAACAAUUAAGAAUCGUUGGACUUAGGCUUAUCUCAGAGAUUUUAAUGUAAUGGGUUAUAGAUUACGACCGGCUUUAGAUUCCGAGGCAU
rnacentral:sRNA from 1 species